GAUGAACGCUGGCGGCGUGCCUAAUACAUGCAAGUCGAGCGAACAGACGAGGAGCUUGCUCCUCUGACGUUAGCGGCGGACGUGUGAGUAACACGUGUAUAACCUACCUAUAAGACUGGGAUAACUUCGGGAAACCGGAGCUAAUACCGGAUAAUAUAUUGAACCGCAUGGUUCAAUAGUGAAAGACGGUUUUGCUGUCACUUAUAGAUGGAUCCGCGCCGCAUUAGCUAGUUGGUAAGGUAAAGGCUUACCAAGGCGACGAUGCGUAGCCGACCUGAGAGGGUGAUCGGCCACACUGGAACUGAGACACGGUCCAGACUCCUACGGGAGGCAGCAGUAGGGAAUCUUCCGCAAUGGGCGAAAGCCUGACGGAGCAACGCCGCGUGAGUGAUGAAGGUCUUCGGAUCGUAAAACUCUGUUAUUAGGGAAGAACAAAUGUGUAAGUAACUGUGCACGUCUUGACGGUACCUAGUCAGAAAGCCACGGCUAACUACGUG
rnacentral:rRNA from 1 species